rnacentral:rRNA from 1 species
UACGUAGGGUGCGAGCGUUGUCCGGAAUUAUUGGGCGUAAAAGAGCUCGUAGGCGGUCCAUCGCGCGAAUGUGAAAUCCCGGGGCUCAACUCCGGGCCUGCAUUCGAUACGGGUGGGCUAGAGUGCGGAAGAGGCGAGUGGAAUUCCUGGUGUAGCGGUGAAAUGCGCAGAUAAUCAGGAGGAACACCGAUUGCGAAGGCAGCUCGCUGGGACGUGAACUGACGCUGAGACACGAAAGCGUGGGGAGCGAACGGG